rnacentral:rRNA from 1 species
GACGAACGCUGGCGGCGCGCUUAACUCACGCAAGUCGAACGGAAAGGCCCAGCUACUGUGGGGUGCUCGAGUGGCGAACGGGUGCGUAACCCGUGAGUAACCUGCCCUUGACUUUGGGAUAACUUCAGGAAACUGGGGCUAAUAACGGAUAGGAGCUCCUGCUGCAUGGUGGGGGUUGGACAGUUUCGGCGGCUGGGGAUGGACUCGCGGCUGAUCAGCUGGUUGGUGUGGUAGUGGCUUACCAAGGCGUUGACGGGUAGCCGGCCUGAGAGGGUGACGGACCACAGUGGGACUGAGAUACUGCACAGACUCCUACUGGAGGCAGCAGUGGGGGAUACUGCACAAUGGUCGGAAGCCUGAUGCAGCAUCGCCUCGUGCGGGAUGGCGGCCUUGCGGUUGUAAACCUCGUUCGCCUGGGACGAAGCGUGAGUGACGGUAAUGGGUAAAGAGGCACGGGCUAAUUAGGUG